rnacentral:rRNA from 1 species
AACGAACGCUGGCGGCAUGCCUAACACAUGCAAGUCGAACGAGACCUUCGGGUCUGGUGGCGCACGGGUGCGUGACGCGUGGGAACCUGCACUUAGGUUAGGAAUCACUCACUUAAAGGGGUGCUAAUGCCGGUUAAUGUCUUCGGACAAAAGAUUUAUCGCCUUUGGAUGGGCCCGCGUGGGAUUAGGUAGUUGGUAGGGGAAACGCCUGCCAAGGCGACGAUGCAUAGCUGGUCUGAUAGGAUGAUCAACCCCACUGGGACUGAGACACGGCCCAGACUCCUAGGGGACACAGCAGAGGAGUAUAUUAGACAAGGGACGAAGGCCUAAUCCAGCAAUGCCGCGGAAAAGAUGAAGGCCUUAGGGUUGUGUUUCCCUUUUACCCGGGAUGAGAAUGACGGUACCGGGUGAAUAAGCUCCGGCUAACUCCGUG